rnacentral:tRNA from 1 species
GGGGUUGUGGCUCAGAGGUAGAGCGCUUGCCUACCAUGUGUGAGGCACUGGGUUCAAUCCCCAGCACCA